rnacentral:rRNA from 1 species
UACGGGGGGUGCGAGCGUUGUCCGGAUUCACUGGGCGUAAAGGGCGCGUAGGCGGCCGGCUCAGUCGGGCCUGUAAGUGCGGGGCUCAACCCCGUGAUGGGCUCGGGACGGGCGGGCUGGGGCGCGGUCGAGGGAGACGGAAUGCCGAGUGUAGAGGUGAAAUUCGUAGAUAUUCGGAAGAACACCAGUGGCGAAGGCGGCUCACUGGCCCGGUACUGACGCUGAGGUGCGAAAGCGUGGGGAGCAAACAGG